UCUUUUAUGGUUUUCCCUGAUAUCUGUCAUUUAUUUUAACUUCAAAAAUUUCAGACUUGGUGUGCCUCCUUUGUGGUUCAUAUGUAUGCAGCUUUGCCAAUUUCAGUGCUUUUUCCUUUCCUAUAUUUCAUGAUAGAGGAUUUCCAAAUAGCAAAAAGGGAGGAGGAUAUUGGUUUCUAUGCUGGUUUUGUGGGCUCUGCAUGUAUGUUGGGCGAGCUUUAACUUCUGUAAUCUGGGGGAUAAUAGCUGAUCGAUAUGGUCGAAGACCUGUCAUGAUAUUUGGCAGUGUUAGUAAAGCUGAUUUUCCCAUGUUUCAAUGUCACCCAUUGAUCAAGUUUUCACUAGUUAAAGGACAAGUUGCUCAUUGAUCAUGUGCAUCCAAAUAUCCAUCUCCUUUUUUUUGACGAUAAUGACUAUAAGUUUCAGGGCUAUUUUCAACACACUUUUUGGAUUCAGUAGAAGCUUUUGGAUGGCAGUCUCUACGAAGUUUCUCCGUGGAAGUUUGUGUGGCAUACUUUGACCA